GUAAUGUUUGGGUUUGGUACUCAGUGAGGAUAAAUGUUUAAGGAAAAACCCUUGGAAUAAACGACAGAAUAUUUGCUGUGUAUAUACAGUGACUCUAUGACCUGUGCUGUCACAGUCAUUUAUUUCUUCAGUUUUUUGAAAUAUAUGUUUAUUUGUUUAAAAAUAUAUAUAUAUUGGCCAAAUGCUUUAUUUUUUACAAGGACAUUUUUGUUGUUGUUGUUAGAGAAAAGAAAUGAUCGUGAUACUAAGCAUGAUCAUAAACAAAAUAUUCUUUUACCAUCUACUAAUGAAAAAUAACUGAAUGCUUUCUGAACCAAAUUUUAUGAAGUACGCAGUCCAUGCUUGAAUAGAUAGAGAUAGAUCUUCAACAUAAAUUGAUCUGUUUUCCAGGGUUUAAGCUCCUAAAAAAAAACCAUAAUAAUAAUAAAAAAAAAAUACUGGAUAAGAGGAGAACUGACACAACCUUAUCUAUAGUAGUGCAAAUGGUACUAGUUAAUUAUACUAGAGGAUAGGCUGUCAUUUUGGAAUUUGCAUAUACAGUAGGCUUAUUAAUAGUGAUUGCUAAUUUUCAUUUAUUAGACAUUCCCUUAACAAAUUCCAUGGAAAUAAGGAAAUGAAGGCAAAGCAAGAAAGGAGAGAGAGGAUAUCAAAUUUCCAGUCCUGAGCAGGGAACAAUACAACUUUCACAAAAGCAACUACAUCUUCAAAACAUGCAGGUUAUCAUAUUGAGGGAUUUUAUUAACCAGCAGUGGAAAUACCUGAGUAACAACCUUGAUUUUCAGACAGUGGGUAUGUGUGAAACCUUCACAAAAACACAAGCCAGUCUGGGAAGGGAGAAAGAGGAAAGAGGAAAGAGGAAAGAGGAAAGAGGAGAGGAGAGGAAAAGAAAAAAGAAAUUUAUCAGGAAGCACAAACAUUUGUCAGAGACCAAGGAGGCUGAGGAAAGACAUCUAUGUUCCAUUCAUUUAUAAAAGACAGAACACCUUCACUAAAGAUCCAGAUGCCCAUGCAGAAUUAUCUCUAUGCUAUUAUAAUAUGAAUAUAAUAAUAAUAUAAUAAUUAUAAUAUUAAUAUGAAUAGCCUGGCAACCAACAAAGCUAGAUAUCCCAACAAAACCAGCAGUCCUCAGGACAGACUAGCAGCCUGCCUCAAGAGAGCGGGCAAAGGGAAAGAAAUCUUUUACUGGGAUACCAGAGCAUUGUUGUGGACAUUCACAAUUACCAAGGGAGGAACACAACCUUUAUGCAGACUCUUACUGUAGCAGUCAGCGUAAUCUGUUCUGUAAAAUCCUUUCUAAUUAAACUCCCAAACAAACAAAAUAAAAUAAUUACUAAGCUCA
rnacentral:lncRNA from 1 species